UAUGUUGUGUGUGUGUGUGUGUGUGUGUGUGUGUGUGUGUGUGUGUGUGUUAUACACACACACACACACACACACACACACAACACCCACACACACACACACACACAUAGAUAUAUAUAUAUAUAUAUAUCUAUUAAUAUAUAUAUUAUAUAUAUAUAUAUAUGUAUAUUA